rnacentral:rRNA from 1 species
AUUGAACGCUGGCGGCAUGCCUAACACAUGCAAGUCGAACGGUAACGCGCCUUGAGGUUGCGACUACGGGCGGACGGGGGCGUAAGACAGCGGAACGUACCCGAUCGUACUUUAUAACGGGGCGUAACGUUUGCUAAUAUACCAUACUAUCGACUACUACCAACAGGUGACCGCAGGGCAUCUUCCGGCCUUGGCCGCCGGUAUGAGCUGAUGUCGGAUUUGCUAGUUGGCGGGGUAAAGGCGUACCAAGGCGACGAUCCGUAGCUGGUCUGAGAGGAUGAUCAGCCACACUGGAACUGAGACACGGCCCAGACUCCUACGGGAGGCAGCAGUGGGGAAUUUUGGACAAUGGGCGCAAGCCUGAUCCAGCCAUGCCGCGUGAGGGAUGAAGGCCUUCGGGUUGUAAAGUGCUUUUGUUCGGAACGAAAAGCAGUAUUUUAAUACAGGACGGUCAUGACGGUACCGAAAGAAUAAGCACCGGCUAACUACGUG